AGAGUUUGAUCCUGGCUCAGAACGAACGCUGGCGGCGCGUUUUAAGCAUGCAAGUCGAACGGUACGCAUGGUGCUUGCACUGUGCUGAGAGUGGCGAACUGGUGAGUAACACGUAGGUGAUCUACCUUGAGGCCUGGGAUAGCCUGUGGAAACACAGGGUAAGACCGGAUGAGCCCCUGUACUUGCGGGUAGAGGGGGAAAGGUGCUAUGGCACCGCCUUAGGAUGAGCCUGCGUCCCAUUAGUUAGUUGGUGGGGUAAAGGCCUACCAAGGCGACGAUGGGUAGCCGGCCUGAGAGGGUGAUCGGCCACACUGGGACUGAGACACGGCCCAGACUCCUACGGGAGGCAGCAGCUAAGAAUCUUCCGCAAUGGACGAAAGUCUGACGGAGCGACGCCGCGUGAACGAAGAAGGCCGGAAGGUUGUAAAGUUCUUUUGCGGGUGAAGAAUAAGGCGAGGAGGGAAUGCCUCGCUGAUGACGUUAGCCUGUGAAUAAGCCCCGGCUAAUUACGUGCCAGCAGCCGCGGUAACACGUAAGGGGCGAGCGUUGUUCGGAAUUAUUGGGCGUAAAGGGCGUGUAGGCUGUUUUGUAAGCCUGGUGUGAAAGUGCACGGCUUAACUGUGUAUGUGCGCUGGGAACUGCAAGACUAGAGUCCGGAAGGGGGAGGUAGAAUUCCUGGUGUAGGGGUGAAAUCUGUAGAUAUCAGGAAGAAUACCGGUGGCGAAGGCGACCUCCUGGUCCUGGACUGACGCUGAGGCGCGAAAGCGUGGGGAGCGAACAGGAUUAGAUACCCUGGUAGUCCACGCUGUAAACGAUGUGCACUAGUGUUGGGGCAAGAGCUUCA
rnacentral:rRNA from 1 species